ACUCGCAGUCUGACAGCGUUUCAGUAACCUGUGCCACGCACAGAGCGGGAUGUACUUACUAACCAUCUGCUUGCAUGGCACGGGUUAACUGAGCCUGUGGGAUUGUGCUUACCUAAACAAAACCACUGCAGUGAGGGGAAAAACAAUGAAUGGGUGGAGAUGAUCAGCCCAUGCGUUCCAGCUAGUGCAGUCCAGGCAGCAAUGACAGCCUGAAGGUUGCAGCAGCAUCGGGAUCGGCAUUCCAAGUGCACUGAUCUUACAGUCUGGAGUGAUUUUGUGUGGAGCUGCUCUUUAUUUGCUGAGCCAUGGCCAGUAACCAGGCCAGCCUGCAGGAUGAUCAGAGCAGGCACUGCAAGUUCUUAUCCUAUAUGUUCUACCAGGCUGUGAGAGAUCACAAGCCUGUGUGGAUGCUGGAAGACAUGAGAACUAUGGAAUAUUUUUACUGGGAGGAAAAUGCCAGCCUACGAACCUACUCACCUUCAGAAGCCCUUCUCUAUGCAGUGGUGCAUAAUCACCUGCCUUAUGCUCAGUAUCUGCUGUCUCAUUUUCCAGAGGAGGCUCUCAAGGUGCCUGGGGAACACUUCUGCUAUUGCCCAUCCUCUGCUCCUCAUUUGGCCAUGGCAGUCACAUAUGACAGGAGAGAUAUCUUGGGACUGAUCAUCAAAAUUGCACACAAGCUCCCCAGCUUGAACUCCUACAUCAAUAGGGCUGGCUGCUUUCAUCUGGAAGAUGGGAAAACCCCCCUGCACCUUGCCUGUGAACUGCUGAGGUCAGAGACGGUCCUCAUCCUCCUUGGGAAUGGAGCCUCUCCCAGGAUAGAGGACAGUAAAGGGCUUACCCCUCUGGACGUCAUCCUGGAGCAGAUGUGGGACUCCAAAGUCAAUGUUGCAUCAAAGAAGCUCUGCCUCGACUACCUCUUGCUCUUCAUGCCCAACCCACAGUUUAAGAUGCGGAAAGUUCUGCAGGAGCAUCCAGACCACUGGACAGCUUUGCUGGGAGAAGACAAAUUCAACAGCCUGGUGGGGAACACACCUGCUUCUUUAUAUCUGCAAGCUAUGCAAACUAUUCUUCAGACUCUUCCCCCUUCUCACUUCCCUAAAAGCAUCCAGGAACUACCUAUACCUCAGGCACUAAAGCCCUUACCAUCCUAUGGCAAAAAGCUACCGACAAAAAAUGUGGUAAAUGUUUUUCCUUGACUUUAUUCGCUGGGUCUUGGAUUUUCAAAGGCAACUUAGGGGAGCUGGUCAUCCACCGCCCUCUGCAUUUUAGUGUGAUUUUAGUACUUAACCUAUUAGGCUAUGCUGGAAAAUCCAAUAUUUUGUGACAAGAUUUUAAAUGUCUUUUCUAACUGAUUGCAGGCACGGCACUUUUAAAGGCAAAAGCCUUCCUUGUUCUCUGUUUUGUUGUGCAUGUGAAGGGUUAACUGUAGUCGAGACUGUGUUAUGUUUGGUUUCUUAGCUGUCAACUGGUAUCAGUGUAUCUGAAUUCCCAAUAUGAUAACUCUAUCCCAUGUAAUGUACCUGGGUAAAAAGGAACACACUGGGCAUGUGGGAUUUACCCACACGCCCAAUGGGAUUUUCAAAUGGUGUAACUAUGGGACUGUGUUCUGCUAGAGCUGGGAGAAACACCAUUCUCUACCAACAGGGUUCACACGUCAGGUUUCCUUUCUAACAAUGAUCUAGCAUCAUCUACUAAUAACCACAAAGUCCAUGGCUGAUGCUGCAGGGAAGCAGAGGCAAUCCUGCAGGGUACCUGAUUUUACCAAGAUACUUCACAGCAGGUCAUGUGGAGGGCAUGAGUUCAGAGAGGGGCAGUGAGUGUAUAUUCCUGGGGGAUUGGGGUAUAGAAACCCACAGAACAGCUGACAGAAAGCAUCCUGUCUCACCUGGGAAUGAGAGGGUUAAAGACAAUCCCAGCCCUGAUGCCUCUACAGACCUGUGCAGUGGGGAAGGAACCAUUUUCCUUGUUGCCCAGUAAACAAAUGGCAAUUGGAGCAGGGCCAGUGGAAGCCCUGUCCUUCGUAAGUGACACUAUUUCUCUCUGACUUGUGUUUUAGAACAUAUCUCUACAGGAGAUGUAGCUCACUAACUUGGUUUCCCAGUGGGUCUCAGAGCCACCAGCACUUGUUAGUUAUCCUAAACUGGGGUGUGAUGUUCUGCUGUCAAAAGUUGUUCCUUGCUGUCAAUUAGAGUAUUUUUGCCACCCAGGUCCAGACAGAGGGUCUGACCCUGGAAAUGACAAAAAGUUCCCACUGAUUGGGCACUGCAGGCGGGGUGUGUUCGCAGAAAGUGGGUUUGGGGCUUCCCCGCCUUCUGGGUAGCUCUGAACCUCACUGCUCAGGCAGAACCAUCUCUGUUCAAGGCACUGGUCCUGCUCUCCUGGCUUUUCUCAGCACCAAUGGAGCAGCAGUGGUAGAGCCCCCACUCCCUUUGGGGGAUAUCCCUUAUUUUGGACCCCAGUGUUCUCCUCUCUUUGUAAGCCCAACCCUCUGUUCUGCUGGAGUAGUGUAACUCAGUUCCCAGAUCCGCACUGAGCAGCAGUGAAGAACUCACUCUGCUCUUCAACUGAACUUGGAGCCAAAGUCUGUGGGGCACGAAACCCUUUUAGCAAGACUAUGGCUAAGAAAGGAUGUUUAGUCACAUCUCAAUUGCUUUGUGCAAAAAUGGCUCAUGUCUCAUCUGGUCUAAUUCCCUGCCUGUGCCACGGAGGCCGUACUGGACUCUUUUUUCCACUCAGUUUCCCUCUGCAUGGGGUACCUCCUGUAUGCCAGGGCACUGGUGAUGCCAGGCAUGGCCAGGUGGAGAUUUCCUGUGGGAAUGCACAACACGUCAGUCACAGCAAACUGGAACAUGCUUUCUGAGACCCUGGGGUGCUCCUCCCAGCCUUUCCUUCCCACAUGCCAUAGGAGGACCUCAGUGCCAGUGCCACCUGAGCUAGGCAGGUGAAUAUGCAGGAUUGCUUGUGAGGCGGAGAAAAUGUCAGCCUGGCCCUAAAAGUGGCAAGCAGGCCAUGAACGGGUUAACCCUUCUCCUGAAAUCCCACAUCCCUGGUUCUGCAGUGUCCUUCUGCCCCUGCCCCUGGGGACUUGCAUGUCUUUCUCCAUCUGUGUCUAUUCCUCCUUGUUCAGUGGGAGAGGCUGUGAACGGGGAAAUUCAGGGUCAAUCUUGGGUGAGGGUUUUGCAGGGAGGCUGCUCCCUCAGCAGGCUUUGCUGCAGACAGAGGUUGUCACAGCUUGGGACGCAAAGCAGGGCCCAAGGCAGAUUUGCAUCAUAAGCGGUGGCUCAGCUGCUUCUGCCAAGCCCUGCAGGCUCCCAAGCCCUGGAACAUACACCCCACCCCUCCCCACAAAAACCUGGAGCUCAAGACAGAGGACAGUGCAGGUGCUCGCUGCCCAUGACUGACCAGAGCAACUGUGCAGAGCAUGGCCCCUGUGGUACCCCUGGAGUCCAGAGGAGUAGGAUUGGGUUUGUUCCCAGUAGCACUGCGGUAUCUCAUCCGGAUGUCGGUGGGUGAGAGGCGGAGGAGGCUGGUGAUGGAUAUUAUUAGAAUAGUAAUUAGGCCCCGGGAGCAGAGAUCCCAAGAAAGGAGGGAAUGGAAAUCAUCCACUGUUUUUGCGCUGGCUCGAAACCAUGAGAGUUUUGUGCUAUAAGGAAUUGCAGAAAAGACAGGAGGAAGGGGAAGGCUGUUAGACUUACAAAUCCAAGGAGACAGGUAGGGAUUCUUGGCAUUAAUGGAGAGCACUUUCUAAUAAGGCAGGAGGCUGUACUCAGAGAGCCACAGCAACCCACUGGGAGCAACUGAGUCUAAAAUGGUGCAGGGAUUUCUUGUUGGCCAUAAUAAUUGUGGAUCAUUGCAAAGGUCAGGGAUCAGGCCCUUCAGGCUUAUGGGUGGAUUUGUAGCUGACAACGGGAUGCUUGUAUGCAUGCAUUUGUCCAUGUGCAAGUCUCCUCUCCAUCCAGUUGCCCAGAGAGAGGAUAGAAGAUGGAUUGUCUUGAGCAGUUUCUUUCUGGGGCAUAUUUGUGACUGGUACCACAGCCUGGUCCACUGUUGGCCAACAUGCAAAACUCCUAGUGUGUUCACCCCAAUGUGUAACAGGCAGUUACCCACACAGGAAAGAUCACUCCACAGCCCCCUCAUUUCUCCUUCUCCUGACCAUUUUAACAAGAGAUCAAGUACUAGCUGGUCCUCAGUCAUGGAGCUACUAUUGGACCUCCCAUGUGCAGUCCCAUUGGGCCAAAAUUUAGGGCUCUAAGUGUUGUGGUGGCAACUCUUUCCAUUGCCUGUAGUGAUAUGAUUGCAGGAUGGGCCCUCCUUCUUAUGGAAUGGGACAAUCUUCUCCCUAAACCCAGUUUGCUUAUCUUGUGGUGACCCAUUUGUUAAAGUUUGAGAUCCUAUCUGUCUUCUUCUCAAUACAGUGACAUUACAUCAGAUAUGGCCAAAUCUACCUCAGCCCUGUCUGCAUUGGGUUUUUUUCUCCAUUCUUUCCAAGUCAGGUCAUUAGCAAAAGUAAACUCAAAGUAUUUUGCAAACUUCCUGCAACCUGACAGUCUUGAAAAAUCCCUGUGCUUGCAUGAGAAACAUGUUGGUGACUUUGUAAAUCAAAAAGGGUGCUAGGUGCUGUGUGGUGAUGUUUACAUUUUGCAUAUAUGCAUACUGAGUAAGUGUUGCUAAAAUCUGUAUUUCUGAACUUGGGGAAAAGAAUAAAAACAACAGCGAAAAGGGGAGAGGGUAAAGUCUUUUCUAAUCUUUGGAUUACAGGUUGGCUCUGCAGGUUACAUCUUUUUAAUUUCGAUUUUGAGGAGUAGCAUUGUAAGGAUCUGAGUUGUCUGGGUAUGUGUGUGACUACAGUUGUGGUGAGAGCCACUUCAGUGAGCACAGCGAGUGACUUGAGGGGGGUGUGUGUGGCGAGGGAGGGGUUGUGUGGGGGUGUGUGAGUGAAAACGUGUGGGUGCAUGUGCGCACACGGCUGUCUGUGUCUGGCUGCCCUCUCCUGGUAAAACCCGUAACUGACUGACAGUACUUACUGCACUGCUCGUACCCAGCGAUCGAUGCCUUAAGGAAGCAGCCUUUGCACGAGUUCAUUGUGCGUCCCAGGCUCUGUGCUGCUGACAGCACCAUUAGCAGGAAGGACAGGCCAGAUUCUGACCUCUGACCUCUUUACACCUGAAGUAAUGCUUUUUAAGUCAAUUGUAUCACUCCUGAUGUUUGUUGGUCUAAAGGAAGACAGAAACCGUUUGCGUGUUUAUGUUCUUCGAGACUCCGUAACUCUGACUUCAGCAUACAAAUAAAAGUGAUACUUAAUCCCCAAAAUAAUUUUUUACAUUUUUCGUACUUUGAAUGUAUAUAGAUAUAUAUUUUCCAUCUCUCUAACACCGAUGGGCAUUUCCCUGUUCCCAGUUCCCUCGGCUUUUUUGGAAUCAGCAUGGCAGUGACAGAUGCUGUUGUUCACUGAUUAAUACUGAAUGUUGCCAUGCCCAAAUACAAAUGAAUGUUCACUGUAUGCUGCGACUUUCUUAUAAAGCCAUACUUUUGUAAUGUUUAGGGGAAAAAAUCUGCCCUAUAAUUGUGUUUGUACAUUACUUGCUGCAUGAUUAAAGAUAAAAAGAUUGUAAUGUGCUGGAAUAAAGCAUAUAUACAUAGCCUGAUAAUUAGGUAUAUUAGCUGUGAAAAUCAUUUAAUCUGACUGUAUUACUAUAAUAAACUUGCAAUAUAAAA